rnacentral:lncRNA from 1 species
ACGCGUAAUGCUGCCUUGGUGACGAUUGUGCUGUGUAGAAUUCUUAUCUGCCCUUCCUGGCAAGCCUCCCCCCUCUCUCCUUUAAGCAAACAACUCUUUGGCAUGACCCCCUCGGCUUCAAAAUAACGUCGACCAGUCUGGCAGGGGCACGUACAUUCCAUUUCCAUGGAGGAGUUGCUCUUUGAACAGGCUUUUCUUAACUAUCCUGGUGCAGAUUCCAGCAGGUUUAGGGCUCAACAGGGGCAAAAGGUUUUCUCCAUAACUUGAAGAGGCACGCCAUAAUUCAAAGGAAAAAGGGUGUAUGGCCUUUAGUUGCCCCGGAUUUGACUGAUUCAGAAUACAUACCUCCAACAAUUCAGCCUAGUACAGCCGAGAUUCAAAAUAUCUCUGCAAAAGAAACGGUGCUGAUGACAUUUGUAAUCAGAGUUAAUUUCUCUACAUGUCAUCAACUUUGAGAGUUAAUUUUAAGGAUUUCCAGGCUUCCCCCCCCCCCUUAGAGAUAUGUGAAAAUAUGGAUGGUUUAAAAGCUGAUAAUUUAAUCCUGCGGAAACUUACUUUGGGCUAUGGAAAAGUGAGAGGUGAAUAGUAAGUCGUAUCAAAGGGUUCCACUGUCUCACUAAAGUAUUAAUUCUGAAUCCCUGCUCCUGAUUAUGCCCUUAUUCCUAUCUCUGCUCAUGGGUUGGCUGUCUGCCAUUUAUUUUCUUAAUUCAUUCAGUCUCCUUUGCACCAAGAAUAGUAGAUUUGCUUCAAGUUAAUUUUCAUAGUGGCCAUAAUAGCCUGUAAUUUACUGUAUAUUUAUUUCUCCAUAUAAAAUGGAAAUUGAACGUCCAAGAUCCCCGUGGAUUUGUACAUGUUAACACUUUGGUAGUAAACAAUAAAAUCAGAAUUUAUUUUAUUGUUAGCAGAGGCUGACAGUGCAAUCCUUUCAUGUUUAUUCAGAAGUAGCCCAAUUCCAUUCAAGGGGGCUUGCUCUCUCAGAGAAAAAAAUAAGGCCUUCAUCCAGUCUGGCAUCCUUCUUGCCCACCCUUCUUCCAUAUCUGUGGGGGAUUAUCAGAUGAAAUUAAUCAACAUAAGUGAACAGUACUGAGCCUCUAAAUGCCUCAAAUCCCGGCUUCAGAUUCAAACAACCAGACAACUACAGUGGUACCUCGGGUUACAUACACUUCAGGUUACAUACGCUUCAGGUUACAGACUCUGCUAACCCAGAAAUAUUACCUCGGGUUAAGAACUUUGCUUCAGGAUGAGAACAGAAAUCGCGCUCCGGUGGCACAGCAGCAGCAGGAGACCCCAUUAGCCAAAGUGGUGCUUCAGGUUAAGUACAGUUUCAGGUUAAGAAUGGACCUCUGGAAAGAAUUAAGUACUUAACACGAGGUACCACUGUAGAGUCAACCCAGAUAAAACUAUCACUGCAAUCAAGAUACAGCUCAGGUUAAGAAGCCCAUUUACUUCCUAUGCUAGCUCUGUUGAAUAGCACUUUACAAAUGUAAUGAUUCCAACAAAGACAAAUCUUUUGACACUACAAUGAAACUGAUAUUGAAACCUGACUUUACUGAUGACCAAAGUGUAUUAUUAUUUUAUAAUUCUAUGAGACCAACAAAACACCCACUAAAUGAGAGGAUAUAUUCCACAGAGUUCUGGAGGCCCAUGGUUAGGCUAUUCUAAUCAUCCUAUCACCACAAGGAAGCAACAAGCCUGGGAUUUGUCAGCAACCUAAUGACACCCCAACUUAUUGGAAUACUUGUGUUUCCAGAGCUAUGCUGAAUAUUCUUUUUUCCAGCAAAUGUCCUCCUAUGUGCGCUAAGCCAGCUGAGCUGCUAGGGAGACCAAGAAAGAAGUCAUAACUUAGUCCUGAUGAGCCAGCUUCUUCUUGCCUUCCAGGUCUUUAACAUGAUCUCACUGAAACAAGCAAAGACUUCUCAGAGCCAUAAGUUAUAACUGAUAGCCAAAGGAAACACAUUUUAAAUAUUAAAUACUCAUUGGCUAUAGUUGGCAGGCAAGGCUGAAGCAUGAACCUACAAUGCUAAGUUUACAGAUGCACUGAAUAGCCUAAAAGCAUUAGUUCAGGUUCCCCCCCCCCCAAGGUUUUGUGAAGUAUUUUUCGAAGAUGAAUCUUUGAUGUCCCCUGGCGGUGAAAUUGAGUAUAUUUCAAUGAACAAUGCACAGAAGAGCUUCAGAUAUUAAACACCAAGGGAAUAAAAAGAUGUUUGGUACUCUUAACCUACUCACUCCAAACCCUCCUACACGCCUCUUAGCCCAGGCUCCCCUGAAGAUCCAAAUUCAACAAAGAAAGAAUGCCCUCCGUUUCUCACAAGAUCAUCUGGCAGCAACUUAAAGUACUCAGAAGGGGGGAGAGUAGGCGUUUUAGUGUCUGGUUUAUAUCACUUGGGUUCGUAUGGCAUGGAUACUGCUGUAAUUAAUUUCAUUUUAGUAAUGGAAAAGCACAGGCAAUUUGGAACCAUACUUCCAUGCUGUGACAGAACUUUUUUUUGGAAAAGAUUUCUUCUGGCUUGUUCUCUUUGCCCCUUUCUUAUGAAUCUCGUAUUAACUUUAUCAUUAUCUGCUUCAACAUACUUCAUGUUGAAACAGUUAACGUUGCCAUCUUCUAUGUAUUUUAGAAACACUGUGCCCUUAUUUAUGCCUAUUACAAAUUGCCGUCUAUGCUGCUGAUCCAUAAUUUCUUUAGGUAAACAUUCUUGCGCUCUCUCUCUCUCUCUUACACACACCAAGGCAUUUCCACGUGCAACAACUGGUUUGUGGACAAAUUGCCACCGACUAUGUGACUGCAGAAGAGGAAACACACACGUCAAGGGCUUUGAAGAAACACAAACUCAGGACGAAAG